CUGGUAUAUAAAAUUACAACACCGUUUUCUUUGUAGUUUGAAGUUGUUUUACAUAUUAACAGACAACAUAGAUAACCAGCUUAUCAAAUGUGACAAAACUGCUCAGAAUUAAAAAAUAAAUAAAUAAGGAGAUAGUAUGCCUUUUCUGCUACAAGGCAACGUUAACAAUAAAUGCGUUUAUUUAUUUCCUGAAACCGGAAAGCAUUGAUGUAACACGAUAUGCUAUAGUGCUAUACAUGUGUGUUGUAUAAUACAUCUAUUAUGAAACGGAAUUUUGUGAGGUUGCAUUAAUUAAGUAUAGGAUAUUCGGAAGUACAUUAAACAUGUUUUGUAAAUGUUUUUCCAAGAAAUCUUUCAUUGCAGUUGUUACUACUGUCCUAGUCUUUUGUGGGGUGCUACAGUUUCAGGUUAUCUCACUAAGGCUUACCCGGCAUCGCUUUUCUUCAAAAGUGGUCAACUGGAUGCUGUAUGAUUCGACGAUCAGGGAUUUCAUUGGACGACUUAAUCACAUGAUCACACGGGAUACCGACGCGCCUCUACGUUUGUUUUCAGCGGUCUGCAGCA